rnacentral:siRNA from 1 species
ACGAGAAGUACCGUAUCAUGCCA